ACGCCAAUCGCGGAAUAGAAUACAAGAGGCAGCCCAAGAGUUUUCCUAACAAAAUUGGUGUGUUUAUGCGGCAAAUAGUGCGCGAGAGGUGGAAAAAGUAGUGAAAAAGGAUUAAUAAUGGAUAUUUCUCUCGAUAUGUGGUAAUUGUAGGCCAGCGAAUCCAUGUAAAUGUGCUGCAAAAUGGUCAAAUCCCUCGGAUGUGAAUUAAGUGGUGGACGCAAUUCACUUGGAUCAGCAAACAAUCCGGCUACUCAUCCCACAAAGGCACCAUCAUCCUCCAAAUUACCACGAGUGUGUGCAUUUGGACGGUUUGCGACACUCGAUCUAGCAGAUCUUUCUGUAUGGAGUCAAUAAAUCGUGAGGAAAACAAUGCUUGCCGCCAUCAAUCAAAGAAAUCAUUGCAGGUGGCUUCCAACAAUGUUGUAACCUGGGAUGCAAAGAAACGUUUCAGCAGCAGUAGCAGUAGCAGCAAAACAUUGAGCAAUAAGGUGGACAAGGAGAAGAGUGUGGUGUUUAGUAAAUCACAGAAAGAUUCAUCAAAAUCAAAUUUAAUUGCGACGGAAUCAAAAGAAUCCAAUUUUGAGUACGACGACCACGAAUGGGACAUUAGAGGUAAGUGCAAUCUAUUAUGCAAUUUUUCAUGCAAUUAUUAUUGUCUCUGAUAGGGGUUGAAUUGUUGAUAAUGUCUCCAAAUCCACAUUUUCCUAUUCAUUUUAAAUGUUUUCAGGUCACUUUUUAACUUUGAAAAUAAAAUUAGAAACAUUCAAGAUUGAAUAGACAAUUUCGGUAUUUCCUUUUGUUCAGUAAAUAACUCAAAAUUAAUUAAAAACAUUAAAAGUCAUGUUGAAUUACACUUAAAUUGCAAAGAUGUCUCACUAAUUCUUAAUUUUUUUCUUUUAAAUAAUUUAAAUAAAAAUACAAUAAUUCGUUUGGAUUAUCUACCUGCCAAAUUAAAUUUUUACUGCUCAUUUUUACCAAAAUUCUGUCUGAUAUUCUGUACAGUAGACUCUCACUCAAUCGGCUCGUUAAAUCGGGCGAAAAAUUUUGUUGACAAUUUUCACGUUUAAUUAUGAAGCUAAUUUGCUCAAAUUCGCUGUAGUUCUUCCUAUUUUAUCGUGAUUCUUUAUAAUUGAGCGCUUUUUGUGGAAUUUACAAAGGUUUUGACGCCCAAAUCUAUCGAUAAACCGGAUGACAUUUUGCCCCAAGUGCCCAAUAGAGAGAGAGUCUACUGUAUUUAUUAUAGAUAAGCUUAAUGCCCUAGACAGACUUACGACUUAAACCGAGAGACGGUUUAUUUAUAAAGUGAUGGAAAUGUGGUCUAAUCUAGGAUGAUUAACUAACGGAUGGAGCAUUUUAAUUUAGAAAUGUUAUAUUUUUCUUAAAUUCUUUAUAAUUUUUAAGCUUUAGAUCCCACAAAAAUAAAUAUAACACGAAAUGGUAGGAACAUGUACAGAAAAUAUAUUUUUAUUGAAUUUAAAAUGUUACUGGUGUUACAAAUAGAAAUUUUUUCAGAAAAAUUCAAAAAAUUGCGAUUUUUACGUCUUUUUCAAAUGUGUUUUAGGAACUGUGAUCCUCGUGCAAUCAUUAUAAAUUUUGAAGCAAUAACAUAACAUUAGAUACUUUUUCAUUUUGUAAAAGUUUUAAAAUAAUUGCAUUUGGUUUUAUACAAAAACUAAAAAAUCACUUAAGUAAAAAUAUACCAUACUUUUGUAUGGAAAAUGUAUGAGAAUGCUCCGCCCUGGGUCUAAUCACUAUUGUGAUUGGGUUUAAUCCUUUAAGGAUGAGAGGGUCAAAAAUAAGGGAUCCGAACAAAUAAUUUUUUCUGACAUUUUAGAACAAAACGUAAUACGGGCUUCACACCUAAGACUUAGCCAUAUGGCUUAACUUUUCUAAUAACUUAUUAGUCAGAAUUUUUUGGAAAAUUUUGACUUAGGAUUGGAUUAUUUAGGGCAAAUGACCUAUUACAUUUUGAAAAAUCAAUAAAAUCGGUUGCUGUUUAAGGUUUUGAGACCCUCGGGAACUGGGCUAAACCUCUAGUCUGAAGACGGUUUAACUAAAGGAAGAGCACCCCGGAUUGGAAUGUUAAGAGAUAUGGCCGAUAUUUAAUUGUAAAUAUAAGUCUCAAAAUACUUUUUGGUAGUUUAUGUAUGCUAAUUGGUAUAUUAGUGAUCCAUUUGACUGUAAUCUGUGAAUUUAAAUUUUAAAUUUUUACAAUAAAUUUUUAUAAUUUAAAUCUGAGAUAACGCACUGCAUUCUUGUGAGAGUUAAAUGGUAAAAAAUAACUAAUGAUUUUUAAAAAUUCAUUUGAGUUGGUGCAACAAUAUAGAAAUAACCUGACGAGUCGAGGAACACUGCCGAUCGCUGGUAAUCUUUCCUUAUAUUGUAGUAAAAAUUUUGUUUUUGGGUCACCGGUGACCCAAUCGUCCUUAAAAGCACAAAUAGAUUCAGGGUGAUCCUCGAAAAAAUUUAGCUUGUAAAAUUUGACAGUAAAGUAUUGGGUAAAGAAAAUUUACGAACAGGACCUCUGAUCAAUGAUCCUGAACCUUCAGUGUAUAACAAUUUCUAAAUAAUAAAUCUUUACUGCUAAAUUUUACAAGCUAAAUAUUCUCGAGGAUCAGCUUUAGUAUAUCUGGACCUUAAAGAGUUAAGUCUUAUGCCCUAGACACAUUUACGAUUUAGGGCAGAAUCAUAUUGACAGCCGAAAUGCUCUUCGUCAAAGUCUUAUCGUUUUUCCUUAAUUUAUUUUCAUUGCAAUUCUUACGCAAAUUAUCAAUUGCCGUAUACCUUAUCUCAUACUCGAUGGCACUAGUUGAAAAUAAUAUAAGAAAAUUGAAGAAAUAAAACGAAAAUGCCAUAUACGGUGAGCAAAAAGAAUCCUACAGUUUUUUUGCUCACCGUUUAUCGCAUUUUCGUUUUAUUUCUUCAGUUUUCUUAUAUCAUUUUCACCUAAAAAAAAUGCGUAAAUUAAGGAAAAACGGUGAGCAUUUGCCUGUCAAUGUGAUUCUGCCUUAAUUAAGACGAGGUUAGAAUUUACGUAAUUAUAAACAAAAUAAUGAUGUGACUAAAUUCCCAUCAGUUUCCCACUAAAUAAUCUGUUUCUUCGCUUAAGCCGAGAGACAGCUUAGUCAGAAACUGAUGGAAAUGUAAUCUAAUCAUUAUUUUGAUAAUAAUUACGUUAAACCGUCUCUCGGUUUAAGUCGUAAGUGUGUCUAGCACAUAAGAUAUGAUGGGUUAAGAAGGCUGGAGAGCAGCAUAUUUUCUCUAUAUUUUUUGUGUAAAAAAUAUUUAAACUUAAAAAAAAAUCAACUUUAAGGGAUUACAUGGGUCUCUCAGGUCAAAAAAUAGGCCUUUUUCUGAUAAUAAUUUAUUGUGUAGAAAAUAUUUUAGAAAUUCCAACUUUUGGGAUAUAAAAGAGUAGUUUUAGAGCAAAAUUUAAAAAAAAAUU